GAUGAACGCUGGCGGCGUGCCUAACACAUGCAAGUCGAGCGAGAUUUAGUGGAUUGGAGACUUCGGUUGAAGAGAAGUUAAUGGAAGCGGCGGACGGGUGAGUAACGCGUGGGCAACCUGCCCCAUACAAAGGGAUAGCCACUGGAAACGGUGAUUAAUACCUUAUAAGUCGGUAGUUUCGCAUGAAACAGCCGACAAAGAUUUAUCGGUAUGGGAUGGGCCCGCGUUUGAUUAGCUAGUUGGUGAGGUAACGGCUCACCAAGGCGACGAUCAAUAGCCGACCUGAGAGGGUGAUCGGCCACACUGGAACUGAGACACGGUCCAGACUCCUACGGGAGGCAGCAGUGGGGAAUAUUGCACAAUGGGCGCAAGCCUGAUGCAGCAACGCCGCGUGAGUGAUGAAGGCCUUCGGGUCGU
rnacentral:rRNA from 1 species